UCAGACAGUGUCUGACAGACACGAUUGAAUAUUAAUUUUCACAGUGAACUAUUAAAGACACUAAAACGGAUAUUGUAAUGUGGAGUUCAACCAGCACUAUACUGGUUUAUUUCGUUCAACUUGUAAAAGUAUUUAUUUGUUAUUUCCAGAGCAGCUGUCACGUUCUAGCUCUGAUUGCCCAACACAGCGAGCACAAGAGGAUGGCUUGUGUCUGUAAAUAAUCAACAUUUAUGACUUCUUGUAUUGGAUGAUAUGAGAUUGUGCAAGCGGUGUCAGUGUUGCGGUCUGCGUGAUGGAUGGAGGUGGUUGUGAAGCUCCCGGCAGCACCAAGCUUCUCAUUAACCUAUGUUUGGAAAAAUAUUGCUGAGUGUGCGCAAAUGUUGGCCAGAGCAGUUAGAUGUGAGUGAAUACCCCCUCUUCCUCCUCCUCUGGUGACGGUAUCUAAUAGGAUCUAGCGUUCCCU